UACGUAGGGUCCGAGCGUUGUCCGGAAUUACUGGGCGUAAAGAGCUCGUGGGUGGUUUGUCGCGUUGUCCGUGAAAUCCCACAACUCAAUUGUGGGUCUGCGGGCGAUACGGGCAGACUGGAGUACUGCAGGGGAGACUGGAAUUCCUGGUGUAGCGGUGGAAUGCGCAGAUAUCAGGAGGAACACCGGUGGCGAAGGCGGGUCUCUGGGCAGUAACUGACGCUGAGGAGCGAAAGCGUGGGGAGCGAACAGG
rnacentral:rRNA from 1 species